rnacentral:rRNA from 1 species
UACGUAGGGCGCAAGCGUUGUCCGGAAUUAUUGGGCGUAAAGAGCUCGUAGGCGGCCAGUUGCGUCCGCUGUGAAAUCCCAGGGCUUAACCCUGGGCGUGCAGUGGAUACGGGCUGGCUGGAGGCAGGCAGGGGAGAACGGAAUUCCCGGUGUAGCGGUGAAAUGCGCAGAUAUCGGGAGGAACACCGGUGGCGAAGGCGGUUCUCUGGGCCUGUACUGACGC